rnacentral:rRNA from 1 species
GUAACAGGUUAAGCUGACGAGUGGCGAACGGGUGAGUAAUAUAUCGGAACGUGCCCAGUCGUGGGGGAUAACUGCUCGAAAGAGCAGCUAAUACCGCAUACGACCUGAGGGUGAAAGCGGGGGAUCGCAAGACCUCGCGCGAUUGGAGCGGCCGAUAUCAGAUUAGGUAGUUGGUGGGGUAAAAGCCUACCAAGCCAACGAUCUGUAGCUGGUCUGAGAGGACGACCAGCCACACUGGGACUGAGACACGGCCCAGACUCCUACGGGAGGCAGCAGUGGGGAAUUUUGGACAAUGGGCGCAAGCCUGAUCCAGCCAUGCCGCGUGCGGGAAGAAGGCCUUCGGGUUGUAAACCGCUUUUGUCAGGGAAGAAAAGGUUCUGGUUAAUACCUGGGACUCAUGACGGUACCUGAAGAAUAAGCACCGGCUAACUACGUGCCAGCAGCCGCGGUAAU